rnacentral:rRNA from 1 species
GCAGGCUGCAACUCGCCUGCAUGAAGUCGGAAUUGCUAGUAAUCGCGGAUCAGCAUGCCGCGGUGAAUACGUUCCCGGGCCUUGUACACACCGCCCGUCACACCAUGGGAGCCGGUAAUACCCGAAGUCAGUAGUCCAACCUCGUGAGGACGCUGCCGAAGGUAGGAUUGGCGACUGGGGUGAAGUCGUAACAAGGUACC